rnacentral:rRNA from 1 species
CCAGCAGCUGCGGUAAUUCCAGCUCCAAUAGCGUAUAUUAAUGUUGUUGCGGUUAAAAAGCUCGUAGUUGAAUCUCUGAUCGGGACGACCUCCUCACCCUAGGGUGAUGGUAGCUGUUGACCUGGUCAUCCUCCUAGAAUACGGUGCCUCUUAACCGGGUCAUCCGUACUAGGACUAUUACUUUGAGGAAAUUAGAGUGUUCCAAGCAGGCAUUUGCCCUGUAUACAUUAGCAUGGAAUAAUAAUAUAGGACUUCGGUUCUAUUUUAUUGGUUCUGGACCGAAGUAAUGAUUAAUAGGGACAGUCGGGGGCAUUCGUACUCAACAGUCAGAGGUGAAAUUCUUGGAUUUGUUGGAGACGAACUACUGCGAAAGCAUUUGCCAAGGAUGUUUUCAUUGAUCAAGAACGAAAGU